rnacentral:rRNA from 1 species
UACAGAGGUGCCGAGCGUUAGGCGGAAUUCACUGGGCUUAAAGCGCGUGUAGGUGGAUCGUUAAGUGUCUUGUGAAAUCCCACGGCUCAACCGUGGAACUGCUGGGCAUACUGACGAUCUUGAGGCACUCAGGGGCUGUCGGAACUUACGGUGGAGCGGUGAAAUGCGUUGAUAUCGUAAGGAACACCCGUGGCGAAAGCGGCUCACUGGGUCUUCUCUGACGCUGAUGCACGAAAGCUAGGGGAGCAAACGGG